rnacentral:rRNA from 1 species
GCAGAGACGGAUUGGCUCGCGUGACAUUAGCUAGUUGGCGGGGUAACGGCCCACCAAGGCGACGAUGUCUAGGGGUUCUGAGAGGAAGGUCCCCCACACUGGAACUGAGACACGGUCCAGACUCCUACGGGAGGCAGCAGUGAGGAAUAUUGGUCAAUGGACGCAAGUCUGAACCAGCCAUGCCGCGUGCAGGAAUGAGGCACGCAAGUCUGAACCAGCCAUGCCGCGUGCAGGAAUGAGGCCCUAUGGGUCGUAAACUGCUUUUGCUGCGGAGCAAUAAGUGUCACGUGUGGCACGAUGAGAGUACGCAGCGAAUAAGCAUCGGCUAACUCCGUGCCAGCAGCCGCGGUAAUACGGAGGAUGCGAGCGUUAUCCGGAUUUAUUGGGUUUAAAGGGUGCGUAGGCUGUUCGUCAAGUCAGUGGUGAAAUGCCGGGGCUCAACCCCGGAGCUGCCAUUGAUACUGUCGGGCUUGAAUCCUGCUGCCGUGGGAGGAAUGAGUAGUGUAGCGGUGAAAUGCAUAGAUAUUACUCAGAACACCGAUUGCGAAGGCAUCUCACGAAACAGGCAUUGACGCUGAGGCACGAAAGCGUGGGGAUCAAACAGGAUUAGAUACCCUGGUAGUCCACGCAGUA